GACCUGGGCACACCUGGGGGCACCUGAGAUGCCCAUAGCACACCUGGGCACACCUGGGCACACCUGGGGGCACCAAAAUGGGGAAAAAACGGCGAAAGUUGGGGGAAAAUGGGGGAAAAUUGGAGGAAAAUUGGAGAAUUUGGGUGUGAAAGGGGCGUGGCCCAGGUAUGCAAAUGAUCCCCAGGUGUGCAAUGGGCGUGGACUAAAUAUGUAAAUGAUCCCCAGGUGUGCAAUGGGCAUGGACUAAAUAUGUAAAUGAUCCCCAGGUGUGAAUGGGCGUGUCCUGGUAUGCAAAUGAUCCCAGGUGUGCAAUGGGCGUGGCCCAGGUAUGCAAAUGAUCCCCAGGUGUGGAGUGGGCAUGGAUUAAAUAUGUAAAUGAGCCCCAGGGUGAAUGGGUGUGGCCUGGGUAUGCAAAUGAGCACAGGGCGUGCAAAGGGUGUGGCCCAAGUGUGAAGUGGGCGUGGCCUUGGUAUGUAAAUGAUCCCCCAGUGUGAAUGGGUGUGGCCCAGGUAUGCAAAUGAGCCCCAGAUGUGAGUGGGCGUGGCCUAGGUAUGUAAAUUGUUCCCCAAUUUCGUCUGAUUGGCUCCCAGGUGUGAAUGGGCGUGGCCCAGGUAUGCAAAUGAUCCCCAAGUGUGCAAUGGGCGUGGCCCAGGUAUGUAAAUGAGCCCCGGCUGUGGAGUGGGCGUGGCCCGGGUAUGCAAAUGUGGCCCCGCCCACCCCGAGCAAUAACGCACCUGGACUCAC